AGACCCAUGGGGGCCAACAAUGGCAUGCACCCCAUGCAUACUGAGGCAACUCUUGGAAGCAAUGGCCCAUCUGCAACUGCAGGCUCUAAUGAUGUUCGUGGGGGAAGCAAACAGGAUGCCUCUGAUGCUCGGGCAUCAGCUACUGAUGGUCAAGGGAAUUCAGUUGCCGGGCACAGUGGUGGUGAUGGUUCUGAGGGCGCAAAAUGACAUUUCCUCUGCAGUGGUUCUACAUGGAUACCUCUGGCUGUUAAUAGUUAGGCAUUGCACACCGC
rnacentral:misc_RNA from 1 species